rnacentral:rRNA from 1 species
AGAUUGAACGCUGGCGGCAGGCCUAACACAUGCAUGUCGAGCGGCAGCACGGGUACUUGUACCUGGUGGCGAGCGGCGGACGGGUGAGUAAUGCCUAGGAAUCUGCCUGGUAGUGGGGGAUAACGCUCGGAAACGGACGCUAAUACCGCAUACGUCCUACGGGAGAAAGCAGGGGACCUUCGGGCCUUGCGCUAUCAGAUGAGCCUAGGUCGGAUUAGCUAGUUGGUGAGGUAAUGGCUCACCAAGGCGACGAUCCGUAACUGGUCUGAGAGGUUGAUCAGUCACACUGGAACUGAGACACGGUCCAGACCUCCGUACGGGAGGCAGCAGUGGGGAAUAUUGGACAAGUGGGACGAAAGCCUGAUCCAGCCAUGCCGCGUGUGUAGAAGAGGUCUUGGAUUAGUAAGCUAACGUUUAAGUGGAGGAAGGCUAAUUAACUAAUUACGUUAGUGUUUGACGUUACGACAGAAUAAGCAACCGCCAACUC